UUACCGAGCGAGGGCCUCCGGGCCCGGUCUCCAACCCUUUUGUGAACCACCUCGUUGCUUCGGGGGCGACCCUGCCGUUCGCGGCGCGGGGCCCCCGGAGCCCGUCCAACCCUGCGUAACCACGUCGUCGGAGUUUACACAAAUCAAUCAAAACUUUCAACAACGGAUCUCUUGGUUCGGGCAUCGAUGAAGAACGCAGCGAAAUGCGAUAAGUAAUGUGAAUUGCAGAAUUCAGUGAAUCAUCGAAUCUUUGAACGCACAUUGCGCCCCCUGGUAUUCCGGGGGGCAUGCCUGUCCGAGCGUCAUUACACCAAUCGAGCCUGGCUCGGUAUUGGGCGCCGCGGGUCUGACCCGCGCGCCUCAAAGUCCCACCGGCGGGGCGGCGUCGUCUCUAAGCGUUGUGGCAACCAUUCGCGGAGAGGAGGCGCGGUGCGGCCGUUAAACACCCCAUCACAGGUUGACCUCGGAUCAGGUAGGGAUACCCGCUGAACUUAAGCAUAUCAAUAAGCGGAGGAAAAGAAACCAACAGGGAUUGCCCUAGUAACGGCGAGUGAAGCGGCAACAGCUCAAAUUUGAAACCUGACGUUCGCGUCCGGAUUGUAAUUUGCAGAGGAUGCUUCUGGGCAGCGGCCGGUCUAAGUUCCUUGGAAAAGGACGUCACAGAGGGUGAGAACCCCGUAUGCGACCGGCGCGCACCCUCCACGUAGCUCCUUCGACGAGUCGAGUUGUUUGGGAAUGCAGCUCUAAAUGG
rnacentral:rRNA from 1 species